rnacentral:rRNA from 1 species
CAAAAACAUCGCCUCUUGAACAACUUAUAAGAGGUCCUGCCUGCCCAGUGACGCAAGUUUAACGGCCGCGGUAUUUUGACCGUGCAAAGGUAGCGCAAUCAAUCGUCUUUUAAAUGGGGACCCGUAUGAAUGGUAAUACGAAAACUCAACUGUCUCAUUCUUUUAACCAAUGAAAUUGAUCUCUCCGUGCGGAAGCGGGGAUAAAAACAUAAGACAAAAAGACCCUGUGGAGCUUCAGACUAGUCAGCUUAAACUUUUAUAAGUACAUUUUCUUAUAAAUCUUAAACUCUGCUUAUGUCUUAGGUUGGGGAGAUCACGGAGAAAACACAUCCUCCAUGAAGAAAAAUAUACAUUUUAAUAAUUAAGAGCUGCUGCUCUAAAUACUAAAAUAUUUAACUUUAUGAACCGGCUUGCCGAUUAACGGACCCAGUUACCCCAGGGAUAACAGCGCAAUCCCCUUAAAGAGCACUUAUCACUAAGGGGGUUUACGACCUCGAUGUUGGAUCAGGGCAUCCUAGUGGUGCAUCUACUAUUAAGGGUUCGUUUGUUCAACGAUUAAAGCCCUACGUGAU